UACGGGGGGGGCAAGCGUUGUUCGGAAUUACUGGGCGUAAAGGGCUCGUAGGUGGCCAACUAAGUCAGACGUGAAAUCCCUCGGCUUAACCGGGGAACUGCGUCUGAUACUGGAUGGCUUGAGUUCGGGAGAGGGAUGCGGAAUUCCAGGUGUAGCGGUGAAAUGCGUAGAUAUCUGGAGGAACACCGGUGGCGAAGGCGGCAUCCUGGACCGACACUGACACUGAGGAACGAAAGCGUGGGGAGCGAACAGG
rnacentral:rRNA from 1 species